UAAACAGGUCGUGCAGUUGCGUGAUGAUAUAGCAAAGCUGUAGAUCACGAGGAAAGUCCGGACUCUAUAGAGGUAUGGUGCCGGUUAACCUCCGGCAAAGUAUUAUUACUUUAGGGAAAGUACCACAGAAAAUAUACCGCUGAAUUGUACGUAAGUACUCGGUAAGGGUGAAAAGGUACGGUAAGAGCGUACCGGUAAGUUGGUAACAAAUUACGCAUGGUAAACCCCACCAAGAGCAAGAUCAAAUAGGCAUUACAGAACUUAUCAAGUUCCCGGAUUAUCUCUAGCCGGCUUGUAAUGCGGGUAGAUCGCUUGAGGUAAACGGUAACGUUUAUCCUAGAUAAAUAACUGCAAUGAAUUUAUAUUCAUACAGAAUCCGGCUUAUAGACCUUAUUGUCAU
rnacentral:RNase_P_RNA from 15 species